rnacentral:rRNA from 1 species
UACGUAGGGGGCUAGCGUUGUCCGGAAUCAUUGGGCGUAAAGCGCGUGUAGGCGGCCCGGUAAGUCCGCUGUGAAAGUCGGGGGCUCAACCCUCGAAUGCCGGUGGAUACUGUCGGGCUUGAGUACGGAAGAGGCGAGUGGAAUUCCUGGUGUAGCGGUGAAAUGCGCAGAUAUCAGGAAGAACACCCGUGGCGAAGGCGGCUCUCUGGGACGGUACUGACGCUGAGACGCGAAAGCGUGGGGAGCGAACAGG